rnacentral:rRNA from 1 species
UGGCCAGACUCCUACGGGAGGCAGCAGUGAGGAAUAUUGGUCAAUGGGCGAGAGCCUGAACCAGCCAAGUCGCGUGAGGGAUGACUGCCCUAUGGGUUGUAAACCUCUUUUGUAUGGGGGGAAUAAGCUUUACGAGUAGAGUGAUGACAGUACCAUACGAAUAAGCAUCGGCUAACUACGUGCCAGCAGCCGCGGUCAUACGUAGGAUCCGAGCAUUAUCCGGAGUGACUGGGUGUAAAGAGUUGCGUAGGUGGCAUAAUAAGUAGCUAGUGAAAUCUGGUGGCUCAACCAUUCAGACUAUUAGCUAAACUGUUAAGCUCGAGACCGUUAGGGGUAACUGGAAUUUCUAGUGUAGGAGUGAAAUCCGUAGAUAUUAGAAGGAACACCAAUAGCGUAGGCAGGUUACUGGGACGGUUCUGACACUAAGGCACGAAAGCGUAGGGAGCAAACGGGAUUAGAUACCCCCGUAGGA